UUGAUUUAAGUGACCAUUUCGUGGAACAUAUACGUAGACGAAAAAACAUUUAUCGACCGCGUAUAAAUAAUGGAAUUUCUGAUACUUUCAAAUUAAAUAAAAAGUUUUGCCUGAAACGUGUAAAGGCGGAGGAAAUAAUAGGACAAAUGAUGAGACUUUUCAAUGACAACGAUGCAGCAAUUUCUUACAGCUUUAUACUGGCUUAUAAAUGGAGGACAAUAUCAUGGGAUCGCAGAUAUGCACGGUGUAUCUAAAUCUACAGUUUCUAGAUCGGUACAUCGUGUUUGUGCGGCUAUUGUUGAUGCUUUUUUUGAAAAAAGUGUACGGAGGCCACAGGAAUACGAAAGAAUUUGUGAAAGGUUUUAUAAUGUUGCAGCUAUGUCAUUUGUAUACGGAUGUAUCGAUGGGACUCUAAUUAAAAUUGAUUCACCUAACGAGCACAUAGGAAAUAUAUUAUCUUAUAUUAUAUAUAAAUUAUUUUUAUUCUUCUUUAUUUAAUAAAAAAAAUCUUUAUUUCUUAAAA